rnacentral:rRNA from 1 species
AACGAACGCUGGCGGCAGGCUUAACACAUGCAAGUCGAGCGCCCGCAAGGGAGCGGCAGACGGGUGAGUAACGCGUGGGAAUCUACCCAGUUCUACGGAAUAACCCAGGGAAACUUGGACUAAUACCGUAUACGCCCUACGGGGGAAAGAUUUAUCGGAAUUGGAUGAGCCCGCGUUGGAUUAGCUAGUUGGUGAGGUAAUGGCUCACCAAGGCGACGAUCCAUAGCUGGUCUGAGAGGAUGAUCAGCCACACUGGGACUGAGACACGGCCCAGACUCCUACGGGAGGCAGCAGUGGGGAAUAUUGGACAAUGGGCGCAAGCCUGAUCCAGCCAUGCCGCGUGAGUGAUGAAGGCCUUAGGGUUGUAAAGCUCUUUCAGUGGGGAAGAUAAUGACGGUACCCCAGAAGAAGCCCCGGCUAACUUCGUGCCAGCCGCCGCAGUAAAA